rnacentral:rRNA from 1 species
UUGCAUUGCGGGUGCUUACACAUGCAGUCGAACGAUGAUGCCCAGCUUGCUGGGUGGAUUAGUGGCGAACGGGUGAGUAACACGUGAGUAACCUGCCCCUGACUCUGGGAUAAGCGUUGGAAACGACGUCUAAUACUGGAUAUGAUCACUGGCCGCAUGGUCUGGUGGUGGAAAGAUUUUUUGGUUGGGGAUGGACUCGCGGCCUAUCAGCUUGUUGGUGAGGUAAUGGCUCACCAAGGCGACGACGGGUAGCCGGCCUGAGAGGGUGACCGGCCACACUGGGACUGAGACACGGCCCAGACUCCUACGGGAGGCAGCAGUGGGGAAUAUUGCACAAUGGGCGAAAGCCUGAUGCAGCAACGCCGCGUGAGGGAUGACGGCCUUCGGGUUGUAAACCUCUUUUAGUAGGGAAGAAGCGAAAGUGACGGUACCUGCAGAAAAAGCACCGGCUAACUACGUGCCAGCAGCCGCGGUAAUACGUAGGGUGCAAGCGUUGUCCGGAAUUAUUGGGCGUAAAGAGCUCGUAGGCGGUUUGUCGCGUCUGCUGUGAAAUCCCGAGGCUCAACCUCGGGCUUGCAGUGGGUACGGGCAGACUAGAGUGCGGUAGGGGAGAUUGGAAUUCCUGGUGUAGCGGUGGAAUGCGCAGAUAUCAGGAGGAACACCGAUGGCGAAGGCAGAUCUCUGGGCCGUAACUGACGCUGAGGAGCGAAAGCAUGGGGAGCGAACAGGAUUAGAUACCCUGGUAGUCCAUGCCGUAAACGUUGGGCGCUAGAUGUAGGGACCUUUCCACGGUUUCUGUGUCGUAGCUAACGCAUUAAGCGCCCCGCCUGGGGAGUACGGCCGCAAGGCUAAAACUCAAAGGAAUUGACGGGGGCCCGCACAAGCGGCGGAGCAUGCGGAUUAAUUCGAUGCAACGCGAAGAACCUUACCAAGGCUUGACAUACACCGGAAACGGCCAGAGAUGGUCGCCCCCUUGUGGUCGGUGUACAGGUGGUGCAUGGUUGUCGUCAGCUCGUGUCGUGAGAUGUUGGGUUAAGUCCCGCAACGAGCGCAACCCUCGUUCUAUGUUGCCAGCGGGUUAUGCCGGGGACUCAUAGGAGACUGCCGGGGUCAACUCGGAGGAAGGUGGGGAUGACGUCAAAUCAUCAUGCCCCUUAUGUCUUGGGCUUCACGCAUGCUACAAUGGCCGGUACAAAGGGCUGCGAUACCGUAAGGUGGAGCGAAUCCCAAAAAGCCGGUCUCAGUUCGGAUUGAGGUCUGCAACUCGACCUCAUGAAGUCGGAGUCGCUAGUAAUCGCAGAUCAGCAACGCUGCGGUGAAUACGUUCCCGGGCCUUGUACACACCGCCCGUCAAGUCAUGAAAGUCGGUAACACCCGAAGCCGGUGGCCUAACCCUUGUGGAAGGAUGCCGCUCACAUGCAUGUAUCAACAAAGAACCCCGA